GAAUGCUGGAGCUGACAAGUUAGAUCAAGAGAAACGUAUUGCUAUGAUCAGUGGUAAUGAUAUCAAAGGAACCAAUGAUGUACACAGUACUGCUACUGGACCAGCUCCUCCUACAGGUACA